rnacentral:tRNA from 1 species
GGGGACAUAGCAUAGCAGUAGUGCCUCCGACUUUCAUGGUUGCCAUUCAGAAGUCCCAGGUUCAAACCCUGGUACUGCCC